AUACGUAGGGGGCGAGCGUUGUCCGGAAUGAUUGGGCGUAAAGGGCGCGUAGGCGGCUUUGCAAGUCAGUAGUGGAAGUCCAUUUUUCAAGGAUGGAAGUGCUACAGAAACUGCGGAGCUUGAGUGCAGGAGAGGUUAUCGGAAUUCCCGGUGUAGCGGUGAAAUGCGUAGAGAUCGGGAGGAACACCAGUGGCGAAGGCGGGUAACUGGACUGCAACUGACGCUGAGGCGCGAAAGUGUGGGGAGCAAACAGGAUUAGAUACCCUGGUAGUCCACACUGUAAACGAUGAAUGCUAGGUGUAGGAGGUAUCGACCCCUUCUGCGCCGCAGUAAACACAGUAAGCAUUCCGCCUGGGGAGUACGGUCGCAAGAUUAAAACUCAAAGGAAUUGGCGGGG
rnacentral:rRNA from 1 species